CCUACGGGCGGCUGCAGUAGGGAAUUUUCGGCAAUGGGGGGAACCCUGACCGAGCAACGCCGCGUGAACGAAGAAGUUAUUCGUAAUGUAAAGUUCUUUUAACAGGGAAGAAAGAGAAAUUUGACGGUACCUGAAGAAUAAGAUCCGGCUAACUACGUGCCAGCAGCCGCGGUAAUACGUAGGGAGCGAGCGUUAACGGGUAUUAUUGGGCGGAAAGGGUGCGUAGAUGGCAUAGUAAGUGUUUGGUAAAGAUGCUGGGCCAAACCCAGUAGGGCAAAAGAUACUGAAAAGCUAGAGUAUGACAGAGGCUAGUGGAACUACAUGUGUAGCGGUAAAAUGCUUAGAUAUAUGUAAGAACUCCAGUCGCGAAGGCGGCUUGCUGGGUCGAUACUGACACUGAGGCACGAAAGCGUGGGGAGCAAACAGGAUUAGAUACCCUUGUAGUC
rnacentral:rRNA from 1 species